AACGAACGCUGGCGGCAUGCCUAACACAUGCAAGUCGAACGAGACCUUCGGGUCUAGUGGCGCACGGGUGCGUAACGCGUGGGAACCUGCCCUUAGGUUCGGAAUAACUCCCCGAAAGGGGUGCUAAUACCGGAUAAUGUCUUCGGACCAAAGAUUUAUCACCUUUGGAUGGGCCCGCGUUGGAUUAGCUAGUUGGUAGGGUAAAAGCCUACCAAGGCGACGAUCCAUAGCUGGUCUGAGAGGAUGAUCAGCCACACUGGGACUGAGACACGGCCCAGACUCCUACGGGAGGCAGCAGUGGGGAAUAUUGGACAAUGGGCGAAAGCCUGAUCCAGCAAUGCCGCGUGAGUGAUGAAGGCCUUAGGGUUGUAAAGCUCUUUUACCCGGGAUGAUAAUGACAGUACCGGGAGAAUAAGCGACGGCUAACUCCGUG
rnacentral:rRNA from 1 species